rnacentral:rRNA from 1 species
GACGAACGCUGGCGGCGUGCUUAACACAUGCAAGUCGAACGAAGCUUGAUUACGGAUUCUUCGGAUGAAGUAUGAUAUGACUGAGUGGCGGUCGGGUGAGUAACGCGUGAGUAACCUGCCCUUCAGAGGGGGAUAGCGUUUGGAAACGAACGGUAAUACCGCAUAAUGUAUUUUGACCGCAUGAUCGAAAUACCAAAGAUUUAUCGCUGAAGGAUGGACUCGCGUCUGAUUAGGUAGUUGGUGGGGUAACGGCCUACCAAGCCGACGAUCAGUAGCCGGACUGAGAGGUUGAUCGGCCACAUUGGGACUGAGACACGGCCCAGACUCCUACGGGAGGCAGCAGUGGGGAAUAUUGCACAAUGGGCGCAAGCCGGAUGCAGCAACGCCGCGUGAAGGAAGACGGUUUUCGGAUUGUAAACUUCUGUUCUUAGUGAAGAAUAAUGACGGUAGCUAAGGAGCAAGCCACGGCUAACUACGUG